CGCGACGGUGAGUAACACGUAUACCACCUUCCAAUACUCAGGGAUAGACCUUUGAAAGAAGAUUAAUACCUGAUAGUCUUUUUCAAGGCAUCUUGAGAAGUUAAAGAUUUAUUGGUUAUGGAUGGGGAUGCGUUCCAUUAGAUAGUUGGUGAGGUAACGGCUCACCAAGUCUUCGAUGGAUAGGGGUUCUGAGAGGAAGGUCCCCCACAUUGGUACUGAGACACGGACCAAACUCCUACGGGAGGCAGCAGUGAGGAAUAUUGGUCAAUGGGCGAGAGCCUGAACCAGGCCAAGUAGCGUGAAGGAAUGAAGGUCCUAUGGAUUGUAAACUUCUUUUAUAGUAGAAUAAAGUGAUCCACGUGUGGAUUUUUGUAUGUAUACUAUGAAUAAGGAUCGGCUAACUCCGUGCCAGCCGCGGC
rnacentral:rRNA from 1 species